ensembl:lncRNA
CCUCUGACAGGAAGCUCGUCAUUAGCCAGCGAUUGUGGGGGAUGCGGAUGAUGAGGCUCUCAAACGACGACCCCCAUCCUACUCUUCCUCCUCAAAGUUUCUCCUUGUGAGUUGCAGGGAGUUUUCUGAUUCUCGUUUGGGAACUAAUUCUCUACAUUACUUUGUGCAUCCGGGGUGAAGAUGGCACAGUGAGACUCAAGCCCUUUUAUUAUGUUCACUGGUCCACGACAACUGAGAAGGUUUCCUGGGGAUAUUUUUUGGUUAUACAUUUUUUAUUCUAUUCAGCUGGAUCAUGUCUCCUCAGAGUGGAAAUUACCUUUACUCCUUCUCCCUCUUUAGGAAAAGAAAAUAGCAAUGCUCAUAUUCUGAAGGUCCCAUCAUAAGGAGGGGCCAUAUUUAAUAAUCAGAGAAAAUUUAUUGUGAUCUUUAACUAGGGAAACAAAGAGGUGGUAACAUUAUUGAUACCUUUGUUUCCUACCGGCCCGAUCCUGUUUACUCAGCCGGAGGGCUCGAGCCGACUGGGACCAGCUUUACAAGUUUAACAGAGAGAGAGAAUCUCACCGGUAGACUUGGACUCCCCCCGAACCGGCUGAAGGAGAAACCUGAAGCACUCAGGGGGAAACCCGAGAAACAGAACAAGAACCCGGGAAGAAUCCAGCCAGGACUCAGACUUGAUCAAGACUCCAACUCAAAGACUUGAGACUUGAUCUGGACCCCAACUCAAGAACGACCCAUGAACCACCGGGUCCGUUACAGUGAGGACCGGCAUUGACGACCAUCAAAGGAGGACCGGGAGAACCCCACGUUGAGGUUGACCGACGCUGAUGGAUGAGGCCGGAGUCUGGAAGCACAGCCGCGCCCCCCCCCCCCCCCCCCUCCAUUUUGCUCAUAUUAAGUCACCCAUUGUUGGGCCGCAGCAGGGGACAAUGACUUCCUUUUUUGUUGAGAAGGCAGCCGGGCGGCCAUCACUGGGUCCUGUGUGCUGUGGCCUUCGAGGCUAGCAGGGAGACAGGGAGAAGCAUAAAGGGAGGGAGACAGCGAGCCCCGGAUCCCAUUUUCUGGCCAGAGCUUCAAAUGGGAGGACGUGGUGUUAGUGGGUGGCGGCACGGAUCUUUCCGGGAAAAGAUUCUCCUACCCAGGACCUGACAGUCAACUUUGGCAACUCUGUGUUAACGCCCACUUUAACUGCUAGGAACAAUCGGCGUGACUCUUGACAGUCAACUUUCCCUGACUCCCAACAUCACUGCGACAACACGAUCCUGUAGAUACACGCUCUACAACAUCAGGAGAAUAUGUCCCCUUCUCACUCAGAAGACGGCGCAGGUAAUGAUUCAGGAUCUUGUCAUCUCCCGCCUGGACUACUGCAACUCUCUCCUGCAGGUCUCCCUGCUACCGCUAUUCGACCUCUGCAGCUCAUCCAGAAUGCAGCAGCUCGACUGGUCUUUAACCUUCCUAAAUUCUCCCACACUCCACUCCUCCGCUCUCUUCACUGGCUACCGGUGGCUGCCCGCAUCCAGUUCAAAACACUCGACUAGAUCACGACUCUUUGCUGUCCUUGCUCCGAAAUGGUGGAACGAGCUCUCUGAAGACACCAGGACCGCAGAGAGCGUUCACAUCUUCCUCCGCAAACUAAAGACACACCUCUUCAGACUCUACCUCGACUAAAUGACUAACAAAUUGUAGCACUUAAAUUGUACUUGUAACACCACUUAUCUAUAGCAAAUAGUACAUUGACUUAAUUGAGGAAAUUGCACUUUCUUGUUUCUUGUUCUUCUAAAUUUGUAUCCCUAUGGUUUAAUGCACUUAUUGUAAGUUGCUUUGGAUAAAAGCGUCAGCUAAAUGACAUGUAAUGUAAUGUAAUGUAAUUUAAUAAUGUGUAUGGUAGCAAUUUGUGUACUGGGCUACACAUGGGAUUCAUUCAUGUCACGAUUAAAUUGUUAUUAUACUAAUAAAUGUCAAAAUAUUCUCAAAAUUGAAAAUGGCACUAAAAAAUUUGAACUGCUUAACCUUAAAAUUAGUUAAGAAAUUAUUUGACAAAAUGGUGUGUCUUCAACAGAUGUUUUCUGAUCAAUAUCAUUGGUGAUUUUAAAACGUAUUCAUUAAUAAUAGCAUAUAUGUGUCAGCUCCUCCCAUGGCCUCUGUUACACAACCUGUACCACUUGUGAUUGUAAAGGAUUAUUUACUUUUACUUUGUGUUUAUAUUUUAAU